rnacentral:lncRNA from 1 species
CGAGACUACCACCGAUUCAAAAUGGCCGGACAAAAUAGCCGGGGAUAUACACAAAAGGAAAUAUGUAGAUGAUUGUGUCAGAAAAUGAAUAUUCAAACGUAAUUAGGUACGUAAUGUUAUAGAAUUAUAUCUAACAAAACGAAAUAAACACAUUUAUAGGUUACAGAAGACGGAUAAAUAGCUAAACGAAAGGAACUACGUGCGACCUGAACCUGGGUCGCAAUUCCGAACGUUUU